rnacentral:lncRNA from 1 species
GCCUUUGGAAUCCGUUUGUAAUUGGGUUGACUUGUGGAGCAACGCACAAGUGUCGGAGGAAUCCACUGCAUAUGGUACCAAGUUUUCAAUCAAGGCUGAUAUAAAUUAGUGCAUAAUGUCUUUUAUCCCAAAUGUAAAGAAGUUUUGUCAAGAUGAAGCAGUUUAGCAGAUUGUAAAUUGGCCGAUGAAUGACUAUCAUUUAAUUUCGUCUUCAAAAGUGGCAGCAUAAAACUCAGUUGCAUAUAUUAUCUACAGCAUCGUAAGUUUUCAUAGCAGCAGACGUGGUGUCAUGGAUUUACGUCUCUGCAACUCUUGGAUUUCCUCUGCAGUUGUUUCAAACUUAAGACGGCAUACAUAUUAUCUGGACUAGUUAAUUAGUUAUUACCAUCUUUGAUGCUUAUUCCAAAGCUCUAUUAGUUUGAUUCACUGGAAAUGUGCUUAUGAAUCUGCUUGUUUCGCGAAUUAUAAAUAAGUUAUGCUAUCAAUUGAACCUUCUGCAUGUGGUUUUUCUUAGUAUUCAUUCUAUCAGAUGUUCAGAACACAAGCUAAGCUAUCAACCUUCUUAUAUUGCACCACUCCAAGAUAUUAGUUGCUUGAUGGUUCAAAUAUGUUGUGGUUCCUAUUAUUUGAUUGAGCACAUAUUGAUUCGAUAUGUUGCACAUUAAGCAUACUGGCAACCUUAAUAGUCACCGCAUUUUCUGAUAACAAGUUGGCUAGAAUUUGUUGCACAUGUGCCUAGUGUUUUGCAUAUGGGACUUAGCAACAGACUUAUUUAGCCACGUAAAUUUCCGUAGCAACAGACUUAGUGUCACAGUUUACAUGCCAUCAGCACAUGGAUUUCCUAAUUGGUAGUUAUAUUCAAACUUAAAACACCAUGCUGCUUAUUUGUUCAGCGAAGCUCUAUUAAUUUAAUUCACUGAAAAUCGGGCUGAUAAAGACUACACGCCCCUUUCCCUUUGGGGUGUUCAUCGUGUCAAUUGGAUUAUUUAGCCACGCAUUUUAGCCUAAGCUUGGGUCACGAACUUACAUUUGUAGAUCACGCAGCUGAACAUGUUGUUACUGGAUAAUUACACGAUCCUGUGUGCAGUACAAUCGACGUUGCUGACAUAUAGCUGCCAUACAUACCAUACAUAUGCUCUUGAUCUUGCUGCGGGUUUUAGUAACGUGCCAGUUUCAUUGUUGUCCCCUCUGUAAUUGUACGCACCCUAUAUGUAACUUUGCUGAUAAUUCUUUCCUUAUGAUCCAGGGUGGCGGCUCUUGACCGGUGACUUUGGGGGCACACUUUUCUGUUCAAAAUCAGCUUGCAGGAAGCUUCUACAUACGUUGUUAUGAUACAUGAGGCAAUGAAAAUAGAUUAUCUUCUGUCUGCUACGUUAGUAGGUGCAAUUUUGGCAAACAUGGAUGGAGCCCUUAAGACAGCUUGUUGGGUGGUGAUCUGAUUCUCCUGUUGGUUUCACAUGGAUGAUACUGUCACAAAUUCAUGGUACCCUGAGAUUUGGUGAACCGUGGCAUGGCUUUGGCUUAUUGUUCAGUGAGUAGCAAAUAUCCCAUGAAUGAAACUCUGAUGUUGCUUCUUUCCUGCCAUUGCAGCAUGUUAAUCUUUGUUCUU